UCGAGCGGAGGAGAAGCGCACCAAUUUCCAAUUAAAAACGACACAGCUGUAUAUACUGAGUUCGUGCUGCACAAUAUUUGAAUUCGAGAGACCAAAUCCAUUUCUCUGUUGGGACUCGAUUAAUUGGUUCAAAUAUUUGGAUGCGGGGCAAUGUUGUUGCCACUAGGCUAGGUCUGCACGUGUAGUUUACUUGCGUUUGGCAAUAUUGUCAAUGUUUACACUGCAUCUGUUGCAUACUGCAAACGGUUGUAUCUAAAAGUAUGGAAUUCGACCCGACUGACCCCUCACCUUCAACUCGUAUAGGAACCACUUAGAAAAUAUUGACCGACUAAAGGAACUCUCGCUUACAGAUGGAAAAGGUAUUACGGUGUAACUAAGUGGUGGUAAAACACAGUCCUCUUAGGACAAUGCCCCACGGGUAAGCAUACCCCUAUGUGCUAUAGACUGCUGGCAGAUAUUUACUUAUUAAUGGAACUGGUGCAGUAACGUUGCCCCAUAACCAAAUAUUUGAACCAAUUAAUCGAGUUUAAUUACAUCUGGUCUCUCGAAUUCAAAUAUUGUGCAGCACGAACUCAGUAUAUACAGCUGUUUCAUUUUUAAUUGGAAAUUGGUGCGCUUCUCCUCCGCUCGAUUAGGUACUGGCAUGAAAUGGCUAGGAAGUGGGAUAUAUAUAUAUUGGCCUGUGUGAAUCAUAGUGAAUCGUUCAAAAGCUGCCAUAUAUCCUGCAACGGUGAAAUAGGCAGUAACGUCGUCGAAAAACGCGAAAAUGCUUCGAACGAUUAUCGCAGGCCGCUGUCCAUGCCACACUUUAAUUAUACUGAUGCUCGCAAAUGCUUUGGCCAGCCAAUCGGUUGCGAACAAAGUGAAGGAGCCGGUACUUGAUGCGCGAGCGAA